UGCUCUUAUGAGAUCACUAUCAGGAAGUGCUGUCAGAAUCGACAGCUGAGGAUAACUCCUGGCUGACU